rnacentral:misc_RNA from 1 species
GUUUGCUUCAAGCAGCAGUACACUCGACCACCCCCACCUCCCAGCUAGGGUUAGGGUUUCGGCGUCGAUCUUCGGCCAUCAACGCUGCUCCGCUAGCUAGCUCAGCCAUGUCGUCCUCCCGGAGGGGGCCGGAGCAGCCCCCUCAGCGGCGGAUUCUGCGCACUCAGACGGCGGGGAACCUCGGCGAGUCGAUAUUCGACAGCGAGGUUGUCCCGUCCUCCCUCGUCGAGAUCGCCCCCAUUCUCCGUGUUGCCAACGAGGUCGAG